rnacentral:rRNA from 1 species
UACGAAGGGGGCUAGCGUUGUUCGGAAUUACUGGGCGUAAAGGGCGCGUAGGCGGCGUGUCAAGUCAGGCGUGAAAGCCCCGGGCUCAACCUUGGGAACCGCGCUUGAGACUGGCAUGCUCGAGUUCGGGAGAGGAUGGUGGAAUUCCCAGUGUAGAGGUGAAAUUCGUAGAUAUUGGGAAGAACACCGGAUGGCGAAGGCAGCCAUCUGGACCGACACUGACGC